rnacentral:rRNA from 1 species
AUUGAACGCUGGCGGCAGGCUUAACACAUGCAAGUCGAGCGGGGGAAGGUAGCUUGCUACCGGACCUAGCGGCGGACGGGUGAGUAAUGCUUAGGAAUCUGCCUAUUAGUGGGGGACAACAUCUCGAAAGGGAUGCUAAUACCGCAUACGUCCUACGGGAGAAAGCAGGGGAUCUUCGGACCUUGCGCUAAUAGAUGAGCCUAGGUCGGAUUAGCUAGUUGGUGGGGUAAAGGCCUACCAAGGCGACGAUCUGUAGCGGGUCCGAGAGGAUGAUCCGCCACACUUGAACUGAGACACGGCACAGACUCCUACGGGGGGCAGCAGUGGUGAAUAUUGGACGAUGGGGGGAACCCUGAUCCAGCCAUGCCGCGUGUGUGAAGAAGGCCUUAUGGUUGUAAAGCACUUUAAGCGAGGAGGAGGCUACUCUAGUUAAUACCUAGGGAUAGUGGACGUUACUCGCAGAAUAAGCACCGGCUAACUCUGUGCCAGCCGCCGCCGUAA